GUUUUUCCUGUACAUAUUUGUCUGAAGUCUGUUAAACACCAGGUAUGUGAAGAGUUUCCCGGAGGGACCGAAAUAAAACAGCACGUUACAUUUUUCUUGAUGAUCUGGGGCAUUUUAUUUUGCAUCCAUGUAAACAGAGAUCCAGUCAUUGAGGAAACAGUAAUGGAUGAGUACAUUGCUGCAUAUACAAUUAGGCAUAACAUUAUGACCAUCUCUGCGGAUCAGGCCUGUUCCAGUGCAUCCCACCGAUACUUGAUCAGUUUGAGAACGAGGAAACUUGGAGGCGAGGUCAACACCUUGCUCUGUUUCAUGUUUGUUGAGUUGUGUGUGUCAGGCUGCAUCCUGCCAGAUGCAAAUGAUGCAGAUUUGAGCUGAUGGGGGUUUCUUUAAAUGUGUGGAAAGUGGCUGAAAUUCAUAAUUCUCAGCAUUGCCAUAAAAUUAUACAAAGUUUUACAAUAAACCAAACAAAGGGGAGAUGCGGUGAGAGCAGCUACUGUUUGUUCGUGUUAUUUACAGCAUUUAGUUGCUGAAUAGGGUCCCCUCAUUAAUGGUCAACGUUUCAAAACAGCCAAAAGUGUUUUUUAUUUAUUAUUUCAUCUGCACAGGAACUACAAAGUGAUACAGACUUCACUUCUGACUACUGAGGAUUAUGAUGCCAGGUAACUACAGAAACAAUGCUGCUUUACUGACGUCUACAUUUCAACCAUCCCAAACGGAGAUGAAGGGAGAUUGAGGGAGUAGCUGUGUAGCUGCUGCUGCUGUAAAACACCAAGUAAGCAUCUACUGCUUUCCACCCAUAGGUCAAGUUUAUAAAUGACUAUAAAACUGAAAAGAGCUGUUUGUCUCAGAUUUUUAUUUCUAAAUAUCUGGCAUUCAAUACAUUGUACACAUAAUAACCACAACUGUCUGCAACACUAUUAUGUCCUUGUAGAAGGAAGCAGAAUGUCAUUUGAAUUCUUUACCCAAAAAAAAUUAAUUUAAUUCCCUUUAAUUAAACUUCAAACUAAGACAGUUAUUCCACACAAGCAGCUAAAUGUGUUGAGAUUUAGUUAAGUUACCUGAACGCCCCUCAGUCACAUUUGAAAGGCAAAAAUGGUGACCACCUUAGACAUAAUAAACACAGACAAUAAAUAACUUCUAUUCUUUUCAUGGAUCCUCAUAUCAUUGUUAUUCUGACCUCUGACUCUGAUUGAGAUGUUCCUCAAUAAAACUCUGAGUUCAGAGGUUCCACCGUUGCUACGCAAAUUCACAACAAAUUCAAAAAUACAUUUCAAAAAUACAAUUAUUCAAAACUACGCAUUCUACUACAGAUAGCCAAGAAAACGCAGCUUUCAGCAUUUCUCCUCGAUUUCUGAAAACAAAGAUUUCCAGCGACAACUUUUUCAGCGACCACCAUCUAACGACAAAGACUGACAAGAUCCGUUCAUCAUGAAUUGUGACAGCGGACCAGCUUUCAGCACAAGGAAAAGGAAGAGGGUCAGCAGCGGUCUGGAUACAGCCAAAGUAUGUAGCACCAAGUGACCCACACCAAGUGUAGUUACUCAAUCACUAACUAAUGUCAAAAACAUACAAUGUAUGAUGGUAAUUUGUACCAGGAUAGUGACCUUUACAAGUUCUUUAUAUUGCACCGUAGAAUAAUAUGGGUCCACUAGUAAAUAAUCAGUAAUAUAAUAGCAAAUUAAUUUAAUAGUGGAAAAAAAGAUACAGUCAUUCGCAAAUUUUCUCAGUCAUUCUCAAAAAAACAAGCUGUGUUUUAAAAGUAAUGCAGUCUAUCGUAGAAGACAGUAUAUACUCAUGUACUACAAACAUGCGCAAACGCGUGAGUAGUCUUAAGUGAAAUGUGUGUUAUUUAAAGUAUGACACAACCUGACAUCUCCUCGACAGAAGCCACGUGCUGUUUCCGGGUCCCAGCCUCCCACACCUCCUCCUGUGUCUUCCACCCGUGACUGUGUCCAGCAGGAUACAGUCACACAAAGCGACACAGCACUUAAGAUCCACGGUUACUCUCUUGAAGAGUACGAGAUGAUUUACCACUCUGUGGUGGAUGACAUGCUCAAGUAAGUUUGUAAAUUACAGCUGGAUUUUAAAACAUGAUGUUAAGACUGAUAAUUUAGUUCCGAAUCACAUUUAACUUUAAAAUUUCUUUAUUAUGUCCUUGUGUCCUCACAGAUAUAAAACUGGCAGACCUCGGCCCUACACCCUCCAGCAUGGGAGAGUGAUUAAACAGCGCCUGUGGGACACAUUGGGUCGUCCAAAGAUCACCACACGAGAAAAGCCUGAUAGACUCUUGGUGAUUGAAGAGUCUCACAGUAAAGACGUCUAUCCACCACUGAUACACGUGGAUAUCUCUAGAGAGCCCAAACCUCGGGUAAUCUUCACUAAGGGAUCAAAACGAAGAAGAAAAUACUAGUACAACGUCAAAUGAUCGAUGUUGUACUGACUUCAAGUUUAUGCUUCUAAUUCAGGUUCUCCAGCCUCUGUAAUACAGCCUCUGACAACCAGCAGCAUCCACCUCCAGCCUCAAAAACCAUCUCCAGCACAGUCCUCCACUGCCUCAGAAAAACACUGACAAAGCCAGUCAUUGUCCACCUGCAGCUUUGUUAAGACAGCUCCAGUCUCACGAAUGUAACCAGCCUCAGCCUUAAACUCCACCUACAUCCGGGAUAUUAAAAAAAAAACACCUCAGCUUGACUCCACCUACCUCCAGCCAGCAACAGUCUCAAGAUCCUCGUCCAUCCAACCAGCCUCUAAUCCAACAUCUAGGCCUCAAAUAAUAAAAGACACCGACACCAUCAAGUCCAAGUCCUCCUGCCUCAACUCUGAAACAUCAACAGCCUCCAACCAGCCUCCGCCAUCAUUUCCAACAUGUGUUCUCCGUAACAACGAGCUUCAAGACCAGUCUUCGAUGUCCACCUGCUAUUACCAGCUAUAACAGCAGCCUCCAGCCAGCCUCCAAGCAUCAGUGAGUAGUCUUAAGUGAAAUGUGUGUUAUUUAAAGUAUGGCACAAACCGACAUCCCCUCAACAGAACCUAUGUACUGCUGACUCUCCACAGGUCCAGAAAGUCGACCUCCGGUCCCAGCCUCCCACACCUCCUCCUGACCUUCUCCAGGUCUCAGGUUUACAGCUCAGCCUGCAGUCUUCCUCUCCUGCCCCAGAGACAUGCUCAAGUAAGUUUGUAAAUUACAACUGGAUUUUAAACCAUAGCGAUGAAACUGCAAACACAUACAUAGACACCAAGAAUCAAAAAGUCACUCCCAAAACUGUUCUCCAGCUUCAACGACCAUCCGAAACAUCUACCUCUGCCUCCAUUGUCCACCUGCUCCUUCCAGCCUCCUUCCUGCCAUCAUCCACAGCCUCCUCUGCCUGAAGCCACUGUCUCCAUCCACUGCCUCUGUGAGACACCUUCAAGCUUUAAUAAACCACAGCAGCCACCUAAACAACUGCCUCUGAUUUUACUUGACAUUCCUCCUCUUCCUCUGAUCCAUGAGACAAAGACAGAAGACACUUGACCUUGCAAUGAGAGAGCUUAUCUUGCCUUUUAAUGGUAUAUGUAUAAUACUUGAUUUGAUUUAUUUGGCAAUUUCAUUUAAAAUAACACCAGCUGUGCCAAAGUGUAAGUGGAAAGAGAAAAGGAAAAUAAGAAGUCAGGAUAACAAGGAGAGGGUCAGAACAGCAGAUCUAACACGGCAAGAAUGAAACAUACAUUAUCAAAGACAGUCAUUCAAUUACACUCGACAAGUUUUUCUUUGUAUUAACAUCAAUCACUACCUCAGUGCAAUGAUGUACAAUGUAUGGUCCGUUUCACCACUCAAUUAAAUCAAGCUAAUUAAAAUCUGUGUUCAUCAGAGAUAAAUAUAUCAUAAAUAUGUCAAUAGACUAACCACAUGUGUCACUGGCCCCUCAUCUGAUCACCUAGAAGUCUGGGUCUGUCUACAAGAGUAGAAUAAAUAAGCUGCAGUGGUGUUUAAAAGUGUUGCUGAUUUCUUAUUUUUCUUUUUAAAUGAAGGUUUUCAUUGUUAAGGUAAAACUAAAUCCAAACACACAUGACCCUGUGUGAAACAGUGAUUUCCCCCUAAACCUAAUAACUGGUUCAUAGCAGCAACAACAGCAAUCGAUCGUUCACGAUAACUUGCAAUGAGUCUUUUCCAGCGCUGCGGAGGAAUUUUAGCCCGUUCAUCUUUGCAGAAUUGCAGCCUAUCCUCACCUGCAAAACUGUGAACACAACAUGGACAAAACCUCCUGCUGUGCUGAUUAUGUUCCACCCCUUUUAAGUAGGCAUACUGAACACCUGACAAAUACACAAGUAAAUGUUGCCUCUCUAUUUUUUAUUCCCUCCAAUUUCAGGGAGAUAUAUUUGGCUCUUUAGUUGGCCUAAAUGCUGCAACAGCUGCUGAUUUUGUCCGUCUGUCAUGUGGAAGACCAGGUUUUUGGGGGCUUUGCUGUGCUCAACAACACUGUGAGAGCAGUGAGAGUGAACUAAAAACCCUCCAUAAAGCUCUGUAUAAUCCUAAGAGAACUAAUUCUUUGCACCGCCACAUUGCCAUUUGGCCACUUAAUUGUUUUAGUAAUUGUUUAGCAACUAUGUUGUUGCAGAGCUGCCGGCUGCAAGAGGUGAUGACAGACAGAUGCAGGUGCAGCAUGAACAAGGUGCCUUCAGCCGACGUUACAAAGAUAUGAGAUGUGGCUGAAGGCUCUGGAAACUCAAAGUAAGCGGAGGUUGUUUUUGAGAAGUUCCCGUGUUCCUAUUUCUACUAGGAUAAUAAUACUUCCUCAACCGCUGUUUACGUGCUACAGUAAUAAACACAUACUGUAAGUGGGACACUGGCGCACAUGUAAACACAAUCAUUGUGUGUUAGAGGAGGCCUUUCCUCUCGGCCUCCCUGGCACAGUUCCCAUGGCGCAGAGCGGCCCGAUAAGAACGCGCCCCUCUGUCUGUCGCAUUCCAAGCAUCCUGCACCGAGUCCCAUCGCACCAGAGGAGCUCAGUCACAACCUGCACCCACUCCCUCCCUUCGACCCGGGCCUCCAAGAGCGUGCUCAGAAUCCAGAACAAUGAGGCGUUCCCAUCUUAUAAGGGACCAGGCUUGGAGCUAGAAGUGGGACAUGGACACACGCGAGGCACGACAGGCAUGUUCUCUGAGGCCGUGCCAUGGAAUGUGCAACAAAGAAUGCAUGCAGGCCACAACAAUUCUGGGAAAAGUCAACUUAUCUUGCGAGGGAAGUUCAGCAGAAAAGACAUUUCAAGCAUGUCGUCCAGGUACAACAACUAUUGAGAAGAGGAGGAGGAGUAGUGAAUCACAUGGAGCAAUGCCUGAAGACACACUGAAGCAAUCUGCGGGCCCCAAAAGGUACUGACCGCAUAUGUGGCCCAGAUUUACUCAAAUCGGAGAUAGUCUUACCCUCCCAUACCCAGAAUUCUCCUAGAAAGUCCGCCCUUUCUGGUUUAAGAAAGCCCCGCCAACCUGCGAGAUAAAUCAGCAGUCUAUACAAACAAUCUAGCCUCAGUCUUUAUUCCCAUGACAAGUUAUGAUCUUACAGAUAAGGGAAAUUCCUCAAACAAAUACCUCAGAUAUCUCAAUCCAUCAAGAUGUCUUGAUAAGGUGAACCAAUAUUCCCACUGAGUAUUCACCAACUGACUUUUUUUAUUUGCUCAUUUGAGGGGUUAGAGCUUAAUGUCCAUUAAGAUGUCUGCUUUGUGACAAGCCUCCCAGUGAGGCAUUCCUGUUUUAUGACGGCAACAGACCUGAAAGCCAGAAACAAGCCUCUGAAUUACUGUGUAUUACAGGGUAAUUGUAGCGUAUCGGACCUUGUGGCUUCAUUGCUGUUGACAGCAGAGCGUUUCAUUGCUCCCUCUGCUGCUUGUUUAUGGUACAGCCUGGCAAGCAGGGAACAUUUCUGACCCAUCAUCUCAGCAAAUUCAUGCAGAAGUAACUACGCAUUCAUAAUUUUUUUUUUUUUUUUUUUUAAAGUUGGACAGAUUUGCUGGGAUCACAGAGUCAUAAAAGAAGACAAUAUUUCUCAUUUUCCACAGAUGGAUGUUUCACAAUUCACUCAAAAACAAACAACUCCUACAGCCGCAGACAUGGAAUAUACUUGCACGCCACACCGUCAUCUUAAUUUUUAGCAUUCCUUCGGUUUAAAUUUGUUUGCGCUUCUUAAUAUUUCACUCGGAGUUUAAUCUUGUGCUUAAAGAAGAAUGUGAAAAGUAAAUUUGACUCAGACAUGAUUGGGAGUCAGUCCAGGUCCGACAUCAAAACUGGUCACAGGUUUCUAUGUAUGCAUGUAAUAUAGGAGAUAUUCAUUUAGAAUAAUAUGUCUUUGCAUAUUCAUAGUUUUUGUUUGAAUGUUUCAGUAAUAGGUGGAGAGCAUUUGAGAAGUAACUAAAGUUUUUUUCCCCAUAAAAUUCGAUGCCUUACCAGCUAUUCAACUGAAUAACUGAGAAAAACAUCUUAACAAGGUUUCAAAACAUUCAGCAAUUACAACAUGCAUAAUAUGCUGCACUAUUUUUGCACACCGAGUGCAGUUUUCAGUGUUCAUGAGUAUUAUCAUGAUGCAUUAUUUAGCACAAAUGUGCAGCAGUGUGGAGAAUGAAGCAUGUAUUUUACUUAUAUAUGUAUAUUUCAUAUAUAGGUCUGAGCCACAGCUUUUCCAUUUUUAAUAUCAUCAUCAGCCAGUGUUAUGGUGCUGUAAGGCUAAGUUGCUGGAAUGGGGUUAAGAGCCUUAAUCAAUUUAACAGUUAAUCAUCUUAAAGCCUGAAGAAUUUUUCCCCGCGAAUCAUUACGUAAAUUAAGCACUUUAAACUCUCCUUGGACUUGAAUCAGCCUCACUCCUCCUCCCUGUUACUAGGCCCCUUCAAGGAAUCUCUACAUAUAAAAACCUUUUCACCUCCCUCCGGAGAGAGCCAGAGGAAUGCCUGCUUGGCCAAAUUCCUUGGUGCUGUUUGUUGGGGCUUACAGUGCUAGCAACACAGGCUAGCAAAUACCAAAGCGAGAAGUCAGGGGACCCAGAGGCUGCGGAACAUUACUUCUGUUUUGUUAUUGUAAUAGUAUGCCGGGCAAAAAUGAAAAACACAUAUUUCCUGGCCUUUGUUUAUGCACUUUAUUUCCAUUUUAUCAGUCCAGUGUGUCCUUCAUUAGGAAAGCAGUAAAAAUAUAACCAUCCCCGGCUCAGCCUUUCAGUGUUCCACAUGGUUGAUAUUAACAUUCCUCCAGCUUUCUAAUGAUGAGGACAAAGCAGGCCGCAGGGGAAGGUUCAUGACAGCAUUGGCAUGGUGCACGCAUUCCUGCGCUAGACUAGCUGGAGGGCCUCUGCAGGGUGGGUGGUGUAGGUGGUGAGCCACAAUGUAAGCUCUCCCUUAUUUGAAGACACUAUGUUCGGUACAUACUGUAUGAUGUAUUUCCCCAGUUAUGACAGACGUGCGGGGAGGCGGGACACAAAGUGAUGUUAUUUUCUCUGGAUGGAAGCUCGUAUUAAUGCUGCAUUCCAGGCAACAAGUGGAAUCUGACGCUUCCUCCAAGAAAAAAAAUAUGCAAAACACCACUUUAUAUUAGAAGUCUGCUUAGAAGAAAUCCAUCAACCAAAGAUCUCUUAAGCAUGACAAUAUGAAUCAUCGAUAACUUUUUUGAGGACCUUUCAAUCUAUUAAAUGCACAACUGACAUGAAUUUCUAUUUCCUAAUAAAACUUUCACCAGCACUGGUGUUAUACUUCUCCACACGUGCGCGCAAACAUCCCCAAGAGGAAGGUUCUGACUGAGGCUGGAAGAAGGGCCGACACGUUUGUCUAACUACUCUCACCACUCUUUGCACAGACUGAUCCGAUUCCUGUCAGUCCGCGGGUAUGAAACACAGUUAAAAAUAAAUACGCUAGCACGUCUCAGUGACCUCGGCGCCAGUACGAUUCUGACUUUACAGGCAAAAGUUCAUCAUUAACGUCAAUCCAGGCCUGAACACAAAACAGCACAACACCAAGUUUAAAACUUCACAUGUGCCUUAAGCAGUUCCCCACUGGGUUGCCGUAGAGUUCAUGAGUCACGUCUGAGGACGGGUUAUGGUGUCACACAACAACUUCUAAAGAUCAUUUGAAAAUUGAAUGUGUUUGUGCUCAUUCCAAGUAACUGCACUGGAAGAUUUUCAGGGCUCCGGGGAGACACAAGAGUAGCAUUGGAUUGGUCACUAGAAAAGUCACCCAAAUAAUAAUAGUAAUAACAAUAA